ensembl:lincRNA
GGCGGGUCGGCUUCUUCCCUCAGCUACCGCAAACCUUCGGCACACAGGAAUCUCAGCCUUCAGUGCGCCCAGCCUCUGGAAGUUGAAGCUCGCGCGGGCGCCUGCCGGAGACGGUAGAAGCGGCGACAGCCGCACUCAUCGUUGCCCAGGCCAAUGGAGCCGAGGCGUCGCUGGAACGCGAGCGGGGGCCUGAGACGCCCAGACCAGCAGCACCCAGAGAACUCGCCAAAGCCCAGCGUCUUCCGGCUCAGGCGGGAAAGUGAUCGCGAGGAGCAAACUUGGCGCUCGCAGCCUCCGGCCUCAGAGAGAUGUGUGUUUACUCAGGGCAACUGUGGCCCUGUGUGGCCAAGUACACCCCUAAAUGACAGGCACCUGUGCCAGGUCAUCUCCUAUGGAUCUGUCUCUGGAGCCCUUUGGACCUCCCUGGAAGGCCAGCCAUCAGGGUUACAGCUUUCCUCCAAAACCUGAGGUGGCAAGGCUUAGGCUGGGACUGCAAACCAACAACUCCCAUCAGUAGGGAAGGAGGACUGGCGAGAGUGCCCUCUGAUUAGGGGGUCAAUGACUUUGGUGAUCGAACAGCCAGCUGCAGAGGCUGGAAGUCUAAAACUACGGGCCCGUCUUCCUACCAAUUAAGGGCUGCCUGCUAGAGCAGUGGCACUUGAGGAAUGGGAUGUUUUCCUAGGGUCCUGAAAUUGGAGCAAGACAGAAGGAAGGGUGCCUAACCAUAGCAACCUAGUUCCACUGUGCACCUUACACACUUGGGGUGGUGUUAACCUUUCCAAGUACUGCUGUGACUGGUGAGGCCCUAAGUCCUUGUGUCCUGUGUGGUGAAUGCGACACCACAGUAAGCCGCUGAGAAGCAAAAAGUCUGUCUGUAGGAGGCCGGCCUUGGUGGCUGGGAAGCUCCCAGAGAAGAGCACCCUCUGGAGGAACCCAGCAUCCAUACAAAGUCAGGAACUUCACCCUGGAGUCCCUAACCCUACUCCAUCCCUUUGGCAGUAACUCGGAGACUCAGAGCCUCAUUCUUUGUUCUCAUUUCCAUCUUUAUCGGAUCUCGACAGUCUGUACAGCUGAGAAGUUCCAGGUUGCUCCGAAGGGCCCCAAGUUUCCGGACUGGAUUGAAAGUCUUAUGUAAACAGGGAGGCUGGGAACUGCCUCAACUUGGGCAAAUACUACCUUCCCCAUUAACCAUCACCACCCCGCUUGCCCAAGGGAGGGAGGGGCCGACAUCUGUCCUGCUAAUAUACAUCCAGGAGGCACUGUGCAGACCCAAGAUCCAGCUGGACCAGAGAGGGUGACUUGCCAGGGGUUUUCCUGAGGCCCUAGACAUCAGUCAGUGCCCAGCAGCCUGAAACACUUGCAGGAUGGCUUCACUGGGGAGGAGGGGGUGUGGUGUGCUUGUCCGCACAGGAUGCCUGGCAGCAGUGUUGUCUACUUGUCCAGUUCCUCUCCAUUCUCUGCUCUCCACUCGCUCCUGAUUUGCUCUUACUUGCUCACUGGCUGCCUGACUCAUACCUCCUAAUCCUCCUUGGUGUAUAACAAACGUCAAGCUUUAUGAGCCACUUUCCCUGACAAUACCCUACACACUCGCCAGACUGUGAGGGGCUGUUGCUCUUAGCUCCCCAGUUUGGGGAUACAUCUCCCAGUUCCUCUCCCUAUGUGGACUGUAAGCUCCAUGAAAACAAGGAUUGUAUUCCAUUCAUCCUCAUCUUUCCUUCUCUACAAAAUGGGGAUAAUUGUACCUGCCCUUCUUGUAAGGAUUCAGUGAAAUAAUACAUACAAAGCACUGAAAAUUUGAAAGAGCUCAAUAAAUAUUUUGCGUCAUCAUUAUUAAUCACUCUUCCUCCAGCCUGACACAGUCAGUGUCUAAUUGGUGCUAGGUAUGUGGGUACAUGAGUGUAUGCCCUACAUCUCCCUCUGCCUGGGACUCCUCAGUAAGGAGAAGUAUGUGUUCUCUGAGAUCAAAGGUGGUUUCUCCUCCACAGAUCCCCAUUCCUAACCAGAAAGAACACCUCUUAACUUUCAGAACUAGAACCCCCUCAACCCACAUUAGUGGCUGAAACAGUAUGGAUAUUCAUGUCCUUUUCGCAUAAAAUCUGAGUAGGCACUUCAGGGUGGUGUGGCAGUUCAGCGGUCUCAGACUCAGGAUCAUUCUCUCCUAUAGCUCGGCUCUUUGUGAAAUUCAACUCAACUAGCAGAAAUUCAACAGAGGAAAAUGGUGUAGAGAGACAGGGAACCUUAAUAAUAAAGCUUGAGCCCCUGGAUCCAGCGCUUCCACGAUCCCUGGUUGCAACAGUCAUUGGAUUUCUCUCUUGUGCUUUCUGCCUCAGUUUCCUCCUUUUAAAAUGGUUAUAACAAGUUCUCCCAGACCUGUCAAAAUUUUCCAGGGUCCCCCCUUGCGUGUAGGACAAAGUAACUCUCCUUGGUCUGAAGAGCUGAAUAUGCUUACAUUUUGAAAACAAAACAAAACAACAACAAACCUCCUGUGCUCUAUGUAGUCCAAUAGAGCUGUCUGGUUUCUGUCUCCUUCCCACUUACCGCUAGGAGACGAUGGGCAACCCAGCUGGAUCAGAGCAUUGCCAGUCCAGGGCCCAGUGAUUGGUCCAGGGGUAGUAACUGGUCUAGGUGAAGCCACUCACUCCUUCCCUGGAUUUGACACAUAGGUACUGGGACUUGGAGGUGUACAGACUAUGGGACUCUGGGAUAUGUAUAAUCCAGGACUCUGGGGAGAGUGUUUCUCCUUUUGGAUUGGAAGACACACAUGUAGGCUUAGCUGCCAGAAGCCGUCUUUCCUGCCAUGUGGAACACGCUGUUUGACACUGAGGACCACACACAGAGGGAAACAGCCUCCAAGAGAGAUGGAGCCGUGGUAAUGGCAUGGCUUUUGUUUGGUUGUUUUUCAUUUGUUUGAUUCGUUUUGAGGUCCUGGACCCAGCUCUGCCUGAAACUAUAGCAGUUGGACUUUCCAGAGACAUGAAAGAAAUAUCUCCUUUAGUUAAGGUAGGUUGAGCUAGAUUUCUGCUAGUUGAGUUGAAUUUCACUAAAAGCAAAGCCAUAGAAGAAAAAGAUUAUGAGUUCUAGAAACACUGAACUGCUCGUCACCCUGAACUGCCUGCACAGAUUUUAUGUGAACAGGACAUAAAUGUCAACCUUGUAUAAGCCACUAAUGUACGAAUGAGAGGAGCAGCCUGUCACAAGAAAGGAUGGCAAAAUGUCCUAACGACACAAAGGAAAGACCUGGGGUAGUCAGUCUGAAGAAAAAGCCAUGGGUAGGCCAGUGUGGUGGUGUACACCUGUAAUCCCAGCAGGAGGCUGAGGCAGGAGGAUCACCAAGAGUUCAAGGCCAGCCUGAACUUCAUAGUGAGUCCCAGGCCAGCCUAGAAUAGACAGCAAUAAAAAAUAAAUAAAUAAAAAACAGGCACAGCUACCAUACCAGAUCUCUAAGGGCUGAGAUGGGGCAGAGAGAUUAAGGCAAAGGGGAGCCAGAAAGCUGUGAUGAGACUUACUUUCUGUGACUUCAUGCUUGAGAAAUAUUCCAGAAGGGCUGUGACCCAGAGAUGCAGUAAGUUACCUUGAGCUACUUGAUGGUAGUGAGAUCUCUGUCACCAGUAGUGCUCAAGUACAGGCUAGGUGAUCGCUGAGUAUGAAUCUUAGGUGUCUAGAUACAACAGAAAGAGUGCAUCUCUUAGAGCUGGAUUCACAUUAUGCUUCUAACACUUUUUACUCUUAGACAAUAAACUCUCUACACUUCAAGAUCAUUUGUAAAGUAUCUGAUGGCUGGGCUGGAGACUGGAACCAAGGAAAUUCUUAGCCUACUCCCGGAGGACUCCUGGGUACCAGUACACUAGCUAGAGCCAACCAUGAGUCAGAAUGCCUGAGUCAGGUUUCUCAUCAUCCUCUCCAACUUGGGCAUGUUGAGGGAAGCCUGCUCCCACCUGCGGGAAAUGCACCUCCCACUGGUUUGUUCUCCAGCUGCAGAGGAGGCAGGGAAUGAGACAGGCCUCUACUCCCAGCCCUGCUUAUCUUCCUGUGUGACCUUAGGGUGACCCCUGCUUCUCCCAGGUCCUCCACAUCCUAAUCUAACAAGUGAGAAGUGCAUCCAUUCCCUGUCCUGGUCAAUCCAGCUGUAGAAUCAGCUCUUAACAACUACCCUAACUAUAAUCCCAAAUGUGAAAGCUUCCCAUUCACAGCAAUAGUAAUCAUGUUACAACACGGCCCUCCCAGCCACCUCAGAGCCUGCUGAACAGGGCCCCCCUCCUCCUACCUAGGUCAGCCCCAAAUGGCACCAUAUGCUAUAUGAGUUGACCUCACAGGUGUGGGCCAAACCAGAGGUGCCCAAGUUGCUGAGGACUUUGUUUCUAGGCAUGGAGUUUAGCUCCCUGUUUAUCACAAUCCUUCAUGGGGGCUUCUACUUCUUCCCUCAAAGCAGGGACCACUCCUUUGGGGGAUGAGAGCAAUGAAAUGGAAAUCAGAGGCAGAAUUUAGAACUCAAAGAAAGGAUGCACAAUUGGGAGGCCAGAUGGGGAGAGAAGCAUGUAUCAGGAAACCUGGAGGACUGAAAUGCAGAAGUCAAAAAAGCUGCUUCCCCACACCUGCCACUGAUGCCCCAGGCUUGGGGCUAGAAGGCACAGGAUCCAUCACCCUGGACACUCGACAUCCAGGGCACAGAGCUCAUCCAGGAAAGGGAGGCAAGGACCCAGGCUUCUGUGAGGGGCCCUGGUGAUAUUCUGACAAGAGGCACCAGGAAGGAGGGCAGUGAGUCUGAGAAGAUGAAAUUCUGACUACGGUCACCGAGGGUCCCUUUGAGAAAAGGAGACAGCUAUGGAAAGAGCCAGUAUCUAGAGACUGUGGUGUCCUGACAAGGGCUACAUGGAAAUCCAUUUUUAGAGCUUUCUCCUGAAGAGAUACCAUAUAGACAUAUGAUAGGAAAUACACACAAAGCCUCCAUCAGUAUGUUAAAAAGUGGGAGACAGUGUAAAUGCCCACCAAGAAGGGGGCAGUUAAAUAAUGACAUACCCAUAGAAUGCAAUGGUGUGCUGUCUAAAGAAUAAAUCAUAUUACAGGGAAAUAUACAUACCUGUGUUUAGAGAAACAAUUGUUCUGUUUUAAUUAAUUUUAUUGGUACAUUUUAGGUAUAAAAUAUAAUGGCAUUCAUCACUGGAGAUUUGUACCUUUACAUAAUAUACCUUGAUUCUUAUAUUUUCCCCAUUCCCCUGCCCUCCCUUCAACCCCUCCACCCCUCCCUAUUUACAGACUUUGUUUCCAUUUUUUUCAUUUUCUCAUAUUAAUUCCAUUCACUUCUUUCCUUUCCCCUACCCUGCCCACUUUCCUUUCCCC